ACAAACAGUGCCAGAUUAUCGAAAGCCUUGUGUUAGUAAAUGUCCAACAGUCCCCGACCAACUGACCCACCCACCCCUGGACCCAUCUGCCUGAAUCUUCCUCCCCGUUCAUGACCUUGCUUCUGUGCCACGACCGACGAUUCAAGCCUCUCCCUCGGAUCCUGUCACCUGACUGUUUCCCUGGCUCUGACCCAGCUUCUGUUCCUUGAUUACCGCACAUUGGGAGUACAAACCUGAGAGUCUGUUUGACGUUGUUCUGCUGUCACCGGAUCAUCACACUGAGGAGCCGAAAUUCAGUUUACUUAUUCCUCAACCAAUUCUGAAAAGGAAGUAAGAUGACGCCAUCCUACCAUCCUACUCCUUCAACCAAAGACUGUUUGGCAAUGGCAGAGAGGAUUUGGGAUGUAACUUUGAAUUUGUGGGGUUGGCAGUGCAGCAGACCUGAUUAAAGACUGACGGACGGACGGACGGACGGAUGGAUGGAUGAAUGGGCUGGUGGAUCGAUGGGUGGAUCAAUGCAUGGAUUGAUGGAGUCUAACUUUAGUCAGAGAUAUUCUACAAAUAAUAAAAGCAACACAUGUG